UGAGGAAUAUUGGUCAAUGGACGGAAGUCUGAACCAGCCAUGCCGCGUGAAGGAAUAAGGCCCUAUGGGUCGUAAACUUCUUUUGUGGUGGAGCAAUAAGACCUACGUGUAGGUCGAUGAGAGUACAUCACGAAUAAGCAUCGGCUAACUCCGUGCCAGCAGCCGCGGUAAUACGGGGGAUGCGAGCGUUAUCCGGAUUUAUUGGGUUUAAAGGGUGCGUAGGCGGAAGUGCAAGUCAGCGGUGAAAUCCCCGCGCUCAACGCGGGAGUUGCCGUUGAUACUGUACAUCUGGAAUGCUCUUGCCGUGGGAGGAAUGAGUAGUGUAGCGGUGAAAUGCAUAGAUAUUACUCAGAACACCGAUUGCGAAGGCAUCUCACGAAGGGGCGAUUGACGCUGAGGCACGAAAGCGUGGGUAUCGAACAGGAUUAGAUACCCUGGUAAU
rnacentral:rRNA from 1 species